rnacentral:rRNA from 1 species
GACCUGGUCGAGUGGCCCGCCUAACGGUGUGUACUGCUUGACUGGGCCUUACCUCUUGGUGAGCCGGCGUGCCCUUUAUUGGUGUGCGUCGGGGAACCAGGACUUUUACCUUGAGAAAAUUAGAGUGUUCAAAGCAGGCCUAUGCCCGAAUACAUUAGCAUGGAAUAAUAGAAUAGGACCCUGGUUCUAUUUUGUUGGUUUCUAGGACCGAGGUA